GUGCACGAGUAAGAACAACAUAUAUAUCUCAGCUUUGAGCCGCUUUCACAGUCAUUCUAUUUGCCUUUAAGACAUUCUGUUUACGUCGGACACAAAGAGAUAAAGAACUACCUUUGAACUCUCUUGCAAAACUAGAACAUAAAUUGCCUGACAAACUUCAAAGUUUAAGAUCUGCCAUUUGUUUUCCUCUCAGGUGUGAAACCUGAUUUAGAAAAUAAAACUGCCAUGGUCAUUUAUUACGCUACGAUUGAGCUUCCCUUGAUGUGCGCUGGUAUCAUUCUGUGGGUUUUUUGUUGCCAUUUCGCAAAGAAGCGCAGAGAGGCAGCAGGCCGGCCCCCGAGGCCCUCUAACUCUCCAUCCGUGUACGUCAUCCCCAUAUAUGAUGAGGAGCGGGAGGAAAACGAGGAAGUAAUGGACGAAUAUGAAGCAUAUUUUCAACCUCCCUACAGAGAACCUCCCAUGUACUGCUCAGGAAAUGUCCCUCCUCCCCCUCCAUACAGGCUUGAACCACCAUCAUACACGGACCCCCCACCAUCAUACACGGACCCUCCACCUUACUCAGACCAGCCCUGAUCCUCCUCGUCUUCCUCGUCCCACACUUCAAACACACAAUAAGAGUUUGUGAAAUGAUUUCAAAGCAUCUGGUUUGUCACAUGGGGACAUUUAUAAACGUGAAUGACAUGAAAGUAUGAAUUCCAGCCCGGCUUUUUAUAGCUGGACUAACAUUUGCAAUUUAAAUGUUUCUUCUUGAGUUUAUUAUGAAGUUUCUGAAACAAGCUUUAAAUCUUUUUGACCC
rnacentral:lncRNA from 1 species